GACAACAGGAGAGAGCCUGAGACAGGUGGUGUGGUGGGGGAGGCGGCGGGAAGGGCUUAGGAGUGGAGAGAUGGAGAAGUAGAAAUUAGCUCAAAAGACAGGCUGAGAGACAGAGCGGGCUGAAGCAGUCAGGACUGAAUUAGGAAAGCUUGAGGUUUGCUGCUUUCAAACUAGUCCUAAUUACAUUAUUUGAGUGUAUGUAAUGGGUCUGGUGCCUUUUCUCCAAAUGAUGUUGACACAUGUCUGCUCAAAUAAAUUAAUGCUCCCAUCACUAUGGACUCAUUUGGUUGGGAAUGACAGGAACACAUGCUGACUGGAACAGAGACGAGGAGAGAGCAUGGCAGUGGGAGAAAGAAAGGCAGAGACAUUAUACGAUUGAUUAGACCUUCCCUUUGCCACAGAAUAACAUCCAAACUCCCAACUCCGUGCCUUCCUGGCCCUGCUUCCGUCUUUCCCUUCCCACUGCACAUCCUGAGCCAGCCAUAUUGUUUCCUAGUGAUUUAGUUCAAUUUCAUUUUAUUUCUUGCCUUUGUGCAUCCUGUCUUUUCUGCUGGAAAAGUCUUGACUCCCUUACCUAUGCAGUGAACACCUAUUCUUCCUGCAAAACAUGUAUCAAAAUGAAUACCCGCCCCCACUACAAAGUAAACUCUGAUAGGGCACAGCCCUUACUAUCUCAUCCAUGAAUAUAUAUCCAAUGGCUAGAGCAGUGUCUGACACUUAGCUGCCACUUAGUCGAUGUUAGGUGGAUAAAUUAAUGGAUGGAUGGGAGGAUGGAUGGAUAGAUGGAUGGAUGUGUGGGUGGGUGGAUGGAUGGACUACUCAUAAGGUUUUGCCUUCAUCCCUACAAAUCUCUUUUGCAAAUCUUUCCUUUCCUGAUGUCCUUUUGCUACUGCUAAGUCACUUCAAGUCAGAAACGACUGAAUCGACUUAGCAGUAGCAGUAGUUCUCUGCGGCUCACUCCAAUGUACUUAUUCCAUGACUAUUGAGUGAAUCAUGGGCAUGAAAGAAAUGUUUUUAAAGUAAUUGGGAAGCUCUCAUAUUCAAAGCUCCCCACAAUUUGGAGUGAGAGCAUUGUAAUUAGUAAAAAAG
ensembl:lncRNA